CAGUAGCCACGGUAAUACGGAGGAUCCAAGCGUUAUCCGGAUUUAUUGGGUUUAAAGGGUGCGUAGGUGGCCUGUUAAGUCAGGGGUGAAAGACGGUAGCUCAACUAUCGCAGUGCCUUUGAUACUGACGGGCUUGAAUGAACUAGAGGUAGGCGGAAUGUGACAGGUAGCGGUGAAAUGCAUAGAUAUGUCACAGAACACCAAUUGCGAAGGCAGCUUACUAUGGUUUUAUUGACACUGAGGCACGGAAGCGUGGGGAUCAAACAGGAUUAGAUACCCCCGUAGUCCCUGUCUCUUAUAC
rnacentral:rRNA from 1 species